ensembl:lncRNA
UAUUGGUCUAUACUGGUUUCUACUGGUCCGUACUGGUCCAUACUGGUUUCUACUGGUCCGUACUGGUCCAUACUGGUUUAUACUGGUUUAUACUGGUCCAUACUGGUGUUGGAAUGGGUUGGACAAUGGGUUCUCCUGGGAUCUUCUAUUGGUUCCUAUGGGCCUCUAUUGACCACUAUGGGUCCCUAUUGGUCCAUACUGGUUACUACUGGUCCAUACUGGUCCAUACUGGUCCAUACUGGUUUCUACUGGUCCAUACUGGUGCAGGAGGUGCAGGAGGUGCCAUCCACGUGCGGAGGAGUGACGGCGGUGGCGUUGCUCAGCUCCUCUCUGCUGGCGGUGGGGGGCGCCGGGGGGAGCGUGGAGCUGUGGGAGCUGCGCAGGGGGGAGAGGCUGUGGACGACAGUGGGGCACAGUGGGGCGGUGACGGCACUGCAGUGUCAGAAUGGGGACAUCGUCAGCGCUGCCAUGGAUGGGCGCAUCGCCGUGUGGUCUCAGAGCCCCUCCCCCCCCCUCCGCCAUUGGCUGUUGGGAGCGCCGCUGUUGGCUUUGGCCUCCCACCCCCAGGGGGCGCUGUUGGCCGCCGCCGGAUGGGCCGACAGAGUGGUGCUGCUCAGAAGGGAUCGGGAGGAGCACUUCCGGGAUCUGCCAAGCCCACGCGGCCGUCCAAUCAGCGCCCUCUGCUGGGAUCCCGACGGGACGCGAUUGGUCGCCGCCCAAGUGGGCGGGGCCUUGCUGGUGUGGGCGUGGCCGGAAGGAGACCCGCUGUGGGCGGGGUCCGAGGAAGCCCCGCCCCUUCCGGAACUGGCCCCGCCCCUCGUCUUGGGCUAUCCCGGAGGUCACGUGACCGCGGUGGCCUUUACCCCGCCCACUGCGGAGGGGGAGGGGCCGUGUGUCGUCACUUCCGGUCCCGGAGGGAAGGUCCUCCAAUGGCCGUCGCACCGCGGCCGCCUCCACGCCGAGCUGCGCGCCCCCAGCGGCGACCCGGAAGUGGGGUCAGGUGACCCGGAAGUGGGGUCGCGUGACCCGGAAGUGGGGUCGCGUGACCCGGAAGUGGGGUCAGGAGACCCGGAAAUGGGGUCAGCUGACCCGGAGGAGGGGUCACGUGAGCCGGGUCCGGCGCUGUGCGUGACCUUUGACCCCUGGGGGUCCCGGCUGGCGGUGGGCCAUCAUGGCGGCGUCUGCGCUGUGCACGGAACUCCGUGGGGUGAGGGGGGGCCCCCAUUGACCCCAUUAUGACCCCAUUGACCCCAUUAUGACCCCAUUGCCCCCAUUGACCCCAUUGUCCCCAUUGCCCCCAUUGCCCCCAUCGACCCCAUUGCCCCCAUUAUGAUCCCAUUGCCCCCACUGACCCCAUUGACCCCAUUAUGUUCCCAUUGACUCCAUUGCCUCCAUCGACCCCAUUGACCCCAUUGACCCCAUUGUCCCCAUUGUCCCCAUUGCCCCCAUUGACCCAUUGACCCCAUUACGAUCCCAUUGCCCCCAUUGACCCCAUCGACCCCACUGCUCCCAUUGACCCCAUUAUGUCCCCAGUGUCCCCAUUGACCCCAUUUUGACCCCAUUACCCCCAUUGCCCCCAUCGACGCCAUUGCCCCCAUCGACGCCAUUGUCCCCAUUGACCCCAUUGUCCCCAUCGACCCAAUUGACCCCAUUGCCCCCACUGACCCCAUUGACCCCAUUAUGGCCCCAUUGCCCCCAUUGCCCUUAUUGACCCCAUCAACCCCAAUGACCCCAUCGACCCCAUUGACCCCAUUGUCCCCAUUGCCCCCCUCGACCACAUUGACCCGAUUGACCCCAUUAUACCC